rnacentral:rRNA from 1 species
ACCGAGGCUUCGGCCUCGGGGACAGCGGCGAACGGGUGAGUAACACGUGGAUAACCUGCCCUCGGCACCGGGAUAGCCCGGGGAAACUCGGAUUAAUAACGGAUAGCCCUUUCGACUCUCGAGUCGGUCGGAAAAGGUAGCUUCGGCCUCUGGCCGAGGAUGGGUCCGCGGCGGAUCAGCUUGUUGGUGGGGUAAUGGCCUACCAAGGCUCCGAUCCGUAGCUGGUCUGAGAGGACGAUCAGCCACACUGGGACUGAGACACGGCCCAGACUCCUACGGGAGGCAGCAGUGGGGAAUCUUGCGCAAUGGGCGAAAGCCUGACGCAGCGACGCCGCGUGAGGGAUGACGGCCUUCGGG